GGGGUUGUGGCUCAGCAGUAGAGCACUCGCCUAGCACGUGUGCGACCCUGUGUUCAAUCCUCAGCACCA
rnacentral:tRNA from 1 species